GUAAUUUCGUUAAUUAUCAAUUUUUAUUGCGCAAUUAAAGUUUAAUUUAGACAUAUUUUACUUGAAUUGCGGUAUUGCGAUAAGAUAUGGAAAAAUAUCUGAGAAUCUUAUUAUUCCUGUUGCUAUCAAGCGAGUUUUCGACAAGAACAACUAAGAAAUGGACUACGAAGCAACCGAUUCACGAAAUCCUGCCAUCGUUGAACAGAACUAUGCCUUGUAACAAAUGCCCGAACGUCUAUUUUCCCGUUUGCACAACAACUAAUGAAACUUUCAUAAACAUAUGCCAAAUGAAUUGUCUGAAGAAAAACCUCAAAGUACUAAGGCGAGGUAUUUGCAUAGACUUUUGAUAUUAAUAAAGUUUACGUGAGAAUUUUGAAA